GAUGAACGCUAGCGGCAGGCCUAACACAUGCAAGUCGAGGGGCAGCACAGAAACAGCAAUGUUUUGGUGGCGACCGGCGGACGGGUGCGUAACGCGUAUGCAACCUACCUUUAACAGGGGGAUAACGGAGAGAAAUUUCCACUAAUACCCCAUAACAUCGAUCAAGGCAUCUUGAUUGGUUGAAAACUCCGGUGGUUAAAGAUGGGCAUGCGUUGUAUUAGGUGGUUGGUGAGGUAAUGGCUCGCCAAGCCUACGAUACAUAGGGGGACUGAGAGGUUAGCCCCCCACACUGGUACUGAGACACGGACCAGACUCCUACGGGAGGCAGCAGUGAGGAAUAUUGGUCAAUGGGGGCAACCCUGAACCAGCCAUGCCGCGUGCAGGAAGACGGCUCUAUGAGUUGUAAACUGCUUUUAAACAGGGAUAAAGCACAGUAUGUAUACUGUGUUGAAGGUACUGUAAGAAUAAGGAUCGGCUAACUCCGUGCCAGCCGCCGCGGUAA
rnacentral:rRNA from 1 species